GCUGGGCGUAGUGGUGGGCGCCUGUAAUUCCAGCUACUUGGGAGGCUGAGGCAGGAGAAUCACUUGAACCCAGGAGGCGGAGAUUGCAGUGAGCCGAGAUCAUGCCACUGCACUCCAGCCUGGGUGACAGAGUGAGACUCUGUCUCAA
rnacentral:SRP_RNA from 1 species